rnacentral:tRNA from 1 species
UCCCUAGUAGCUCAGUUAGUAAAGCGUCUGCCUGCAGUGCAGGAGACGCGGGUUCGAUUCCUGGGUUGGGAA